AACGGCCGUACCAUGCUGAAUAUACCGGUUCUCGUUAGAUCACCGAAGUCAAGCAUCAUUGGGCGCGGUCAGUACUUGGGUGGGUGACCACCUGGGAACACUGCUUGCCGU
rnacentral:rRNA from 1 species